rnacentral:misc_RNA from 1 species
UAAUAAUAAUAAUAAUAAUAAUUCGACUCCUGGGUUCAGCAAACCAGAUUGUGCUUCCCAAUUCACAGGACGUUUGUGUCCCAAAUCACUUGGGGAUGCAAUCUGGGUCGCCAAAACAAGUGAUCUCAUUCACUCAACACAAAAUCGAAGGACUCGGCAUAAAAUCAAAGAGAAAGUGAGUAGUAUAUAGUAAAGAAGGAGAAGGAAUUUCUCUGUUUGAGAUUUGAAUGACUCUUGUAUUGCGUUUGCUUGUCUAAGAAUGGUCAGACUUCCAGCCAAACAUUCCGUUAAAGAUUUUAUGGUGAUUUUGCAG